rnacentral:sRNA from 1 species
AAACACACAUUCAAUGGCACUCAUCGUCCAAAUUUUAAUGCUCGCUGCUUGGACGCUGACGGCGACUAUUUGCAACGUUGCAGCAGAUUGCGUGACAGAUCCUGAGUCGAUGCUGUGCAUUUUAGAUCCCGACAUGGGAUGAGCACGAGUUUGUCAUAAUACUUACUAACUUACGCCUGAAGUGUAUAUGAAUAAAUAAAAUAUAAACAAAAAAUGUA